UACGUAGGGUGCAAGCGUUGUCCGGAAUUAUUGGGCGUAAAGAGCUCGUAGGCGGUCUGUCGCGUCUGUGUGAAAACCCGAGGCUCAACCUCGGGCCUGCAGUGGGUACGGGCAGACUAGAGUGCGGUAGGGGAGAUUGGAAUUCCUGGUGUAGCGGUGGAAUGCGCAGAUAUCAGGAGGAACACCGAUGGCGAAGGCAGAUCUCUGGGCCGUAACUGGACGCUAGGAGC
rnacentral:rRNA from 1 species